rnacentral:rRNA from 1 species
UACGGAGGGGGCGAGCGUUAUUCGGAAUUACUGGGCGUAAAGGGCGCGCAGGCGGCUGCUCAAGUCAGGCGUGAAAGGCCUGGGCUCAACCCGGGAAUUGCGCUUGAGACUGGGCUGGCUUGAGUGCGGGAGAGGAUGGUGGAAUUCCCAGUGUAGAGGUGAAAUUCGUAGAUAUCGAGAGGAACACCGGUGGCGAAGGCGGCCAACUGGACGAAGACUGACGCUGAGACACGAAAGCGUGGGGAGCAAACAGG